GCCAGAUGACUAAAGCAGGAGAGAAAAAGGGCAGGAACUCUUGCAAUCCCUAACCGGCCCCCACUGCUUCGCUGAUUGUGGCUACUUUGAGCUCCCACAUGCCUGUCAUUUGAAAUGAAGGUUCAUGAACACAAAACACAAUGUUGGAAGGUGAAGGCAAGCCAUUCUCCAUGUUUUCUGAGCAUAGUGGUCUUAAAUUGUAUGUACACAGAGGAGGAGAAUUUAGAUUAAAUGUGAAAACAUAACUAGAAGCAGCCAAGAUGUAUGCAUUGUUGACCAGUUUAUGUGUCUUCAUGCAGCAGUCCCCAACUUUGUUGGCACCAGGAACCAGUUUCAGGGAAGACAAUGGAAACAUGGAAACAGGGAAGGCAGGUGGGCAGGGGCAGGGGUGAUGGUUUCAGGAUGAUUCAAGUGUAUUACAUUUAUUGUGCACUUUAUUUCUAUUAUUAAUACACUGUAAUAGAUAAUAAAAUAAUUAUACAACUCACCAUAAUGUAGAAUCAGGGAGAGCCCUGAGCUUGUUCUCCUGCAACUAGAGGGUCACAUCUGGGGGUGAUGGGAGACAGUGACAGAUCAUCAGGCAUUAGAUUCUCAUAAGGAGCAUGCAGCCUAGAUCCUUUGCAUGCACAGUUCACAAUAGGGUUUGCGCUCCUAUGAGAAGCUAAUGCUGCCACUUGUCUGACAGGAGGAGAAGCUCAGAUGGUAAUACCAAUGAAGGGGAGUGGCCAUAACUGCAGAUGAAUCUUUGCUGGCUCCCCACUGCACACCCCCUGCUGUGCAGCCUGGCUCCUAACAGACCACAGACUGCUACCGUCUUUAUAAAUAUUUUUCUGAAAAUAGGGCCCAGUGCUUCCAUCAGAUUUUUCAGCAUCUCAAAAAUAUAAGGUAUCAUUGUCUUAAAGAGAGAUGUGUUAACCGUCAAGAUAGAUUAGAGAGCAAAUCUCUUUCCUGACAGAUUUUUAAGAAUAAGUCAUUCAAUGGUCUACAUAUUAGAUAAAAGUUAUUCUAGCAAUGUUAAAUUCCUUUUUUUUCUAAUCAGCUGACUUUAAGAAAAUGUCAUUUUUUUUUGGUACGAUCGUAAUAUUGUGGUUAUGUAAGAGAACAUUUUUAUCCAUAGGAUACUCAUGUGGAAAUAUUUAGGAUAUACUGUUAUGAUAUUUUAAUUUUACUCUCAACAUUCCAGCAAAUAAGUAUAUGUAGGUAUAUCAGUAUAGAGAGACUGAGAUAAAGCAAAUGUUAGGAAAUGUGGCAAAAUACUAACAAUUGAUGAAUCUAGGAGAGGGCAGGUGGGUAUUGAUUGUGCCAUUUUAACUUUCUUGUGGUUUUUAAAAAUUCUUUAAAAGAAUGUUUAAUUCUUUUAUUCUUUGUUAACAAAGGAAUAAGACAGUUCAUUUAUCUGUCUUUUUAUGCAUGCUCUCCCCCAUUUAUCUGCCUUAACUUCAUAAUUAUAAAUAAAGAAGGCAGUUCUACUAUCA